rnacentral:ncRNA from 2 species
GGUCAUGAGCGCCAGCGACAAGCCCCGGCUCGCUGGCCGGCAACCCUCCACGCGGUGGGGUGCCCCGGGUGAAGACCUGGCCACGCCGCACCGGGCGUGAGCAAGCGCGAGCC